AUUUAUCUUAACGCGUUUGUAUGUUUGACCCAUACAUACGUUUUCGGUGGAUUUUAUUUCUACAAAACCAGACAAAGUGCCAUAAAAUAUACAUGGUUUGGUGCUGAUUAAAACGACUGUCAAGAGCAGGAACACGAUAGCUUGUUAGUAAACCAAGCCAACAUCGCUGUAACAUUAGGUAGAGAUAUAUAUUUAGUUAUCUAGCAGCAAGCACAUUUCGCACUGUUUUCCACUUAUUUCAUCUGCCUGUUCCUCGAAGAAAAAUAAAAAUACCGAGGGAUAGUUACGUUUUGUUCAAUACCUUGGAUCAAGUUGCAUAUCGAAAGAAUGAAACUGCAUUUUAGCUGACAUUUAUCGUCUACUUUAGCUUAGCAACCUAGCUGUUAGAUUUUACAUCUUUUUCCUCAUUGAUAAAACGAUGACAACUCUUACAAGACAGGAUCUUAACUUUGGUCAAGUGGUGGCUGAUAUUCUGUGCGAGUUUCUGGAAGUGGCCAUCCACCUCAUCCUAUACGUUAGAGAGGUCUAUCCAUCUGGGAUAUUUCAAAAAAGGAAGAAAUACAAUGUUCCUGUGCAGAUGUCAUGUCAUCCUGAGCUGAACCAGUACAUCCAGGAUACGCUUCACUGCGUUAAACCACUUAUUGAGAAGAAUGAGGCAGAGAAAGUAGUGGUUGUGAUCAUGGAUAGAGAACACCGCCCAGUGGAGAGAUUUGUGUUUGAGAUCUCCCAGCCUCCCCUUCUGUCUAUCAGCUCUGAGACUCUGCUGUCUCACGUGGAGCAGCUACUGCGAGCAGUGAUCCUGAAGAUCAGCGUUUGUGACGCUGUUCUUGACAACAACCCACCAGGCUGCACAUUUACUGUGUUGGUGUACACUAGAGAAUCUGCUACUAGAAACAUGGAGAAAGUUCAAGUGAUCAAGGACUUUCCCUGGAUUGUCGCAGAUGAGCAGGAAGUCCUCAUGCAGGAACCCAGACUCAUUCCUCUGAAAACAAUGACCUCAGAUAUAGUGAAGAUGCAGCUUUAUGUGGAAGAGCGAGCACAGAAAGGACAGCGUAAUGCAGCAUGAAUAAAAGGAAUACACCUUCAAAAACUUUUUACAAUUCUUUUAACUCCAUUUGAUUACUUUAGGUAGAUUUAGCAUGACCUAACAAUUAGCAGUGAAAAUGUUUAUUUAAUUAUUAAAUAUUAAGCAGAACUGUAAUUUACUAGAUCAAAUGUAUCGAUGCUGGUUUUCAGUGUCUAGAUAAUGCAGUGUAAGUGUAAGCAUGUAAUUUGUUCAGUCAUAAGUUUGCAGAUGUUCAUCAGUGCAGUUUGUAGAGGUUUCCUUGGUAACCUCCUCCUGGUUUCUCCUCUUUUUUUUUUUUUUCCUUACCACAAAAUGUUUUUUUCCCUGGCCAGAUAACAUUCCAUUUUUCUGUAUACUUCAUUUCAGUUCAUUGUUUGGGAGUACUUUUGUGACCAGCUUUUCUGACAUGCUUUUUAAGGACAUUGUUUUGCACUGGUCAUCAUCAAUUUCUUCAUGCAGGAGAAAUAAGUGAAUAGGUGUAUAUUGGUCUUAUAAACCAUUCAGAGAAAUCAACUGAGUUAAAUUUCAUCUAAAAGGAUUCUCACCCUGAUGAUCAUUUUGCUUGCUUGCCAGAGCUCCUGAUGUAUCCAAGGCAAGCUGGUGAGCACAUCUCACAUAUGAAUGCAAUGAAAAUAUUGACAAUCAGACGUAUUAAAGUACUAUGACACGAUUCUAAAGGGAUGGGAAGAGGGACAGUUUUACAAAGAGGAGGCUUUUUGUCGUUUUCUGAGGGGGUGAUUUUGCUCCACCAUCAGCAUGGUUUUCUCCAUAAUUCACCCACAUGUGGAGCCUGGCCUCUCCUUAUUCUUCCUGUUCAAAAACGACUGUGACGUGCCAGAGGGCACUCUCGAGUCCUCGGCCAGGACCUCAUUUUAAUUUUGGAAAGUACAAGUAUAUGUUACACUAAAAUAGCAAAAAACAAACAAACAAAAAAAGCCCCUACAAGUAUAAUUCCUUUUUUGAGCAGAAAUGCUAGCAUGCUAUUGCCCUACUGUGUAAAAACCUGUUUGCUAUUUUUAAGUACAUAUUUUUCAAAAAGGAAGGUACUGGCCAAGUGGUGAGAGACUAUUUUAAUUUUUCGUUUUUAGCCAUUUAGCUUCAUUCACCGCCUGGCAUCUUGGACUCUGACAAACACACGCAGUUCUCCUCUGCUUCUAUGUGAAAAACUGGAAUUUUCAGGACUGGUGGGAUGUCUGCAACAUUGUAAGAAAAAGCUACAGUUGGCAAUAGAUUUUUUAAUAUAGUUGUUGUAGAUGUAGAUCAUUUUCUAUAGCUGUGAAAAGAAUAACUGGAAUUAUCUAGGGUGUGCGUAUUGCUAUAGCGAUAUGAUCCCGUCUUUCACUUUCACUUUUCAUAGCAACCUAAAUUCAGCGCCGUCUCCGUCACACAGUUUAUUUUCCUUUCAAAAUUGUAAUGAUUCAUAAUUUUUAAGGAGCAUUUCUUCAGGACUGUUGCCCCUGGCUCGCCCAUUGAGGUCUUGGACCCAGACAUAUGUAAAGCUGUAUUGUGACAAUGGCUGUUGGAAAAAAACACUACAUGUUAUUGAUUGACUGACAAUAGAAAUGGGUACUUUCCUCAGUACAUUUUGGACUGAAACAGAACAGUACUUGUACAUAAAACACUGAUCAUGUGCUCUAUAAGAUGAGAUGUCUAUGAGCAAACAAACAAGCACAGUCAUAUAGAUAGAAAUUCCCCAAAAUAAUUAGUUGACCUUAAAAUCAUCUUAAAAUCAUACUACAUUUGGAUGAUUUAAUGUACUCGUAUGUGAUAAUGUGGGUUAUCUGUAUCUCAGAAAUUUCCCAUAUUGCCAAAACAUGUCCUGUACUACAUAAAAAUGAUAGCCCAUGACUAUCAGCAGUGUCAUUAUGGGCAGAAUAUACUGUACUCUUUCAAAAAUCCAUAUUAAAGGUAUACUACCUUUAGGAUAAUUAAUAUGCUCAUUUCACUUGUGCUGAUUUUUGAUAAUGUAUUUCUGAUGAUGUUUCCAUAAUGCCAAAAUAAUUCCACUGCCAGUCAAGAGGGAUAUCCCUUGGCUAUCAACAGAUCAAGGUUGAAAAGAUUCUACUUUCAGUUUUUUUUGAUAAAUCCAAUUUGAAGUCCAUGAACGCCUUUUAAUGAUGUUUAAAUGCCCAUUUCAUUUUAAGAAAGAAUGCUAUUGUUGGCUAAUUCUCUGAAUUUUCCCAUAAUACUAAAACAUUUCCACUGUCAUUAAGAGGGGUUGCCCUUGGCUAUCAACAAUGCAGGUUUGGCCACUGACACUGGUAUUUAGCUAAUGCAGUGUCCUGUUUUCCCUCGUGGGGCUAGUGAUGUACUGGUUGAAUAUCGGCAGAAUGCAUGGGAGACUUGAUUAAAGUGCCAUACUGUGUCUGAGCCCCAUUGGGAAAGACAUUCCAAGACAUUUUGGAGUUUGAAAUGGAUUUUUGAAAACAUAGGAAAGUAGCAUCCACCCCAAUUUGCAGCGAUUAUGGGCAAAGGCUACUACUCUUGAGUGGUAGUGGAACUGUUUUGGCAUUAUGGGAAAAUUCAGAGAAAUAGGUAACCAUACUUUCUCUGAAUUAAAUGGGCAUUUGAACACCUCUUAAAUAUACAAGGACCGGAUUUAUUAAACUGUAUUUAAGACAAUGAAAACGCGACACGGGAAACUUAGGCUGGCCAUUUGCUAAGGAAACGAGAACCAGGUAUUUGUCUCACUCCUAAAGCUCGUCUUCCAAAGUAAGAACUCCUUUCCUGAUCUAAUUAGGAUUGCAGUACAGUAGCCUAAUAUUUUAAUUUAGUGAGCAUGUUAGGUUGUUACUAUUUCAGCGUUUAAUUAUUAUAGCCAAAUCUUUGGUUUUCAGUAUGACUGUUACUUUGUGUCCUUGUGUAACGUAGCGAAUGUGGUCAAGUCAUCCGCGCUUUAAAUCCUAAAGCGCCUAUAUGCGCGAUUUCGCUGAUCACCCCAAUCUAACGCUCUAUAAGAAAAGAGAAGCAGACCGUUUUUUCAAAGAGCUCUGAUGUAGGCACGCACUUUUACUUCAUU